rnacentral:rRNA from 1 species
GAGUAACACGUAGGUUACCUGUCNCUGAGCGGGGGAUAWCAUUGGSAAACAGAUGCUAAUASCGMAUAACAGUUUGAAUAGCAUGAUUCAAACUUAAAAGAUGGUUUCGGCUAUCACCUUGGGAUGGACCUGCGGCGCAUUAGCUUGUUGGUAGGGUAACGGCCUACCRAGGCUGUGAUGCGUAGCCGAGUUGAGAGACUGAUCGGCCACAAUGGAACUGAGACACGGUCCAUACUCCUACGGGAGGCAGCAGUAGGGAAUCUUCCACAAUGGGCGCAAGCCUGAUGGAGCAACACCGCGUGAGUGAAGAAGGGUUUCGGCUCGUAAAGCUCUGUUGUUAGAGAAGAACGUGCGUGAGAGUAACUGUUCACGCAGUGACGGUAUCUAACCAGAAAGUCACGGCUAACUACGUGCCAGCAGCCGCGGUAAUACGUAGGUGGCAAGCGUUAUCCGGAUUUAUUGGGCGUAAAGCGAGCGCAGGCGGUUUGAUAAGUCUGAUGUGAAAGCCUUUGGCUUAACCAAAGAAGUGCAUCGGAAACUGUCAGACUUGAGUGCAGAAGAGGGCAGUGGAACUCCAUGUGUAGCGGUGGAAUGCGUAGAUAUAUGGAAGAACACCAGUGGCGAAGGCGGCUGCCUGGUCUGCAACUGACGCUGAGGCUCGAAAGCAUGGGUAGCGAACAGGAUUAGAUACCCUGGUAGUCCAUGCCGUAAACGAUGAGUGCUAGGUGUUGGAGGGUUUCCGCCCUUCAGUGCCGCAGCUAACGCAUUAAGCACUCCGCCUGGGGAGUACGACCGCAAGGUUGAAACUCAAAGGAAUUGACGGGGGCCCGCACAAGCGGUGGAGCAUGUGGUUUAAUUCGAAGCUACGCGAAGAACCUUACCAGGUCUUGACAUCUUGCGCCAACCCUAGAGAUAGGGCGUUUCCUUCGGGAACGCAAUGACAGGUGGUGCAUGGUCGUCGUCAGCUCGUGUCGUGAGAUGUUGGGUUAAGUCCCGCAACGAGCACAACCCUUGUUACUAGUUGCCAGCAUUCAGUUGGGCACUCUAGUGAGACUGCCGGUGACAAACCGGAGGAAGGUGGGGACGACGUCAGAUCAUCAUGCCCCUUAUGACCUGGGCUACACACGUGCUACAAUGGACGGUACAACGAGUCGCGAACUCGCGAGGGCAAGCUAAUCUCUUAAAACAGUUGUCA